ensembl:lncRNA
CCCCGGUUCAUUCACACACAGACGCACAGAGGGACGCACGCACACAGCAGGUAGAAGCAGCUGUCUCUCUCCGGCUUUGCUACGUACCGCGCUGUAGCGGUCCACAGCUCUCUGCUGUUCUGGGUUCUACUCCUGGUUCUGCUGUUCUGACGUUCCGGCUCUUUGUUUACACCACGUUUUUUUUUUUGGGUGUUCUUCAGAUUUUGGAGAACUUUUCCUCUCCUGAGGACUGGACUGGAAACCAGGACACACAUCUGUUAGAGACGCACCAUAUGUCCGUGUUUACUGAGAGAUCAGCUGUGCUCUGGAGUGUGUGGACUCUGGGGAAACUUCCAGAAGCUCUUCGCCUGCUCCAGUCU